GUUCGGGAAACCGGAGCUAAUACCGGAUAAUAUAUUGAACCGCAUGGUUCAAUAGUGAAAGACGGUUUUGCUGUCACUUAUAGAUGGAUCCGCGCCGCAUUAGCUAGUUGGUAAGGUAACGGCUUACCAAGGCAACGAUGCGUAGCCGACCUGAGAGGGUGAUCGGCCACACUGGAACUGAGACACGGUCCAG
rnacentral:rRNA from 1 species